GACGGAGGAUGCAAGCGUUUAUCCGGAAUUAUUGGGCGUAAAGCGUCCGCAGGUGGAUAUACAAGUCUGCUGUCAAAGUGCAGAGCUUAACUCUGUAAAGGCGGUGGAAACUGUAGGUCUUGAGUAUGGUAGGGGUAGAGGGAAUUCCUGGUGUAGCGGUGAAAUGCGUAGAUAUCAGGAAGAACACCGGUGGCGAAAGCGCUCUGCUAGGCCGCAACUGACACUGAGGGACGAAAGCUAGGGGAGCGAAUGGG
rnacentral:rRNA from 1 species